UAGUAAAAUUUAGACUUUAUUUUUGUUUUAGUGCGAAUUUAAAAAUAAGUGGGAGGUUCUUGUUGUAUUUUAGGUAAAAUUUUGAUGCAAUUUAAGGGAGUUUUUUGUAUUAUUAAAUUUUAGUGAACGAAUUAGAUUAGUACCUAAUUAGUAAAAAUUUAAGUAUUCAGGAGUAAAGUAGUAUUUAAACUGAAAGAAUUUUGGCAGAUUUUCUAAAUUAUCUUUGGAGGUUGAGUAAUAAUUGAGAGCCCUCAUUAACUACUUAAUUUCUAGGCUCAUGUAUGAUCGUUUUUUUUAUAUUUAGGAUUUAAAAGUUUAGUGUGUUGAGCUGUAAAAAUAGAUAUAUAUUUGGUGUAUAAGAUAAGUAAAAAUUUGACCUACAUUAUAGUGAUAUUUGGAUUAAUAAUGUGGUGUUGUUAUGAAAUUGUAAAAGACAGUAAAAAAAUUUUUAUGUUUUUUUGAAGAUUAUUUAGAAAUGGUACAAAUCAUCCAUCCAUUGCCUAAA
rnacentral:rRNA from 1 species